UCACUAUGACCCUUAUCUCUCAUAAGGAAUAUCUUCUUUAUUUUCUCUGUAAGCAUACCCAUGUAUCUUUCAGGAGGUUAGGAGAUCUUGCUAAAUCUAUGAGGUGGUAGAAGAACAUCAACUACUAGCUCAUGAAUAAUGAGUUCUUGAGGAUCCAUAAUGCUUUGCUCUUCAAAAACCUUCUCUUCGAGCUCAACUAACCUCCCACUGCCACCAUC
rnacentral:lncRNA from 1 species